ACAGUUUGUUGAGUUGUGUUCAUCUGUUCAGGUGAGGACACAAUAACAACCAAACCAACAAAACCAACAACAACCAACGCCACCACAACAACACCAGAAUUAACGACACCAACUGAGAGCAGCAUUAAAGCAGGUUGGUGGUGGUGGCUCAUCGUUGUCUUUGUGGCUGUUGCAGCGCUCCUAAUGAUCACUGUGGCUGUCAUCAGAUGGAAGAGAGCUAAAGGGAACAAAACACCGACGUAUGCAAAUGUGGUGCGUUAUGAUGUAGAUGAUGAUACAGUGAUCUAUGAAAACAUCAGAUCUCCU